CUGUUUCCUGCUUCAACAGUGCUUGAACAGAACCUG
rfam:Mus musculus chromosome 8, GRC primary reference assembly.